GCCUGGGUGGCUCAGUCGGUUAAGCAUCUGACUUCAGCUCAGGUCAUGAUCUCAUGGUUUGUGGGUUCGAGCCCCGCGUCGGGCU
rnacentral:tRNA from 1 species